UACCAGCACCCCGAGUGGUCGGGACGUUUAUUGGGCCUAAAGCAUCCGUAGCCGGUUCUACAAGUCUUCCGUUAAAUCCAGCUGCUUAACAGAUGGGCUGCGGAAGAUACUAUGGAGCUAGGAGGCGGGAGAGGCAAGCGGUACCCGAUGGGUAGGGGUAAAAUCCGUUGAUCCAUUGAAGACCACCAGUGGCGAAGGCGGCUUGCCAGAACGCGCUCGACGGUGAGGGAUGAAAGCUGGGGGAGCAAACCGG
rnacentral:rRNA from 1 species